UUUACCUACGGGAGGCAGCAGUGGGGAAUAUUGGGCAAUGGGCGCAAGCCUGACCCAGCAACGCCGCGUGAAGGAAGAAGGCUUUCGGGUUGUAAACUUCUUUUAAGAGGGAAGAGUAGAAGACGGUACCUCUUGAAUAAGCCACGGCUAACUACGUGCCAGCAGCCGCGGUAAUACGUAGGUGGCAAGCGUUGUCCGGAUUUACUGGGUGUAAAGGGCGUGUAGGCGGGCCGGCGAGUCAGAUGUGAAAUCUCAGGG
rnacentral:rRNA from 1 species